rnacentral:rRNA from 1 species
AACGUAGGGGGCGAGCGUUGUCCGGAAUUACUGGGCGUAAAGGGCGCGCAGGCGGUUAUCCAAGUCAGGGGUGAAAACUCUGGGCUCAACCCAGAGCGUGCCUUUGAAACUGGGUGACUUGAGGGCAGGAGAGGGGAGUGGAAUUCCCAGUGUAGCGGUGAAAUGCGUAGAUAUUGGGAGGAACACCAGUGGCGAAGGCGGCUCUCUGGCCUAACCCUGACGCUGAGGCGCGAAAGCGUGGGGAUCAAACAGGAUUAGAAACCCCAGUAGUCC